rnacentral:rRNA from 1 species
UACGUAGGGGGCAAGCGUUUGUCCGGAUUUAUUGGGCGUAAAGAGCGUGUAGGCGGCCUUGCAAGUCCGUUGUGAAAACUCGAGGCUCAACCUCGAGACGCCGGUGGAAACUGCAAGCUAGAGUCCGGAAGAGGAGAGUGGAAUUCCUGGUGUAGCGGUGAAAUGCGCAGAUAUCAGGAGGAACACCCGUGGCGAAAGCGGCUCUCUGGGACGGUACUGACGCUGAGACGCGAAAGCGUGGGGAGCAAACAGG